GUAGGCGGUCUUUCAAGUCCGAUGCUAAAGACUGGGGCUCAACCCCAGGGGUGCGUUGGAUACUGUGAGGCUAGACGGUCGGAGGGGGUAGCGGAAUUUCCGGAGUAGCGGUGAAAUGCGCAGAUACCGGAAGGAACGCCAAUAGCGAAGGCAGCUACCUGGACGACUUGUGACGCUGAGGCGCGAAAGCGUGGGGAGCAAACCGGAUUAGAUACCCGGGUAGUCCACGCCCUAAACCAUGAGUGCUGGGUGUCCGGCUUCUGCUGGGUGCCGUAGCUAACGCGCUAAGCACUCCGCCUGGGAAGUACGCACGCAAGUGUGAAACUCAAAGGAAUUGACGGGGGCCCGCACAAGCGGUGGAGCAUGUGGUUUAAUUCGAAGCGACGCGAAGAACCUUACCAGGCCUUGACAUGCCCGGAACCCCUCUGAAAGGAGGGGGUGCCCGCAAGGGAGCCGGGACACAGGUGCUGCAUGGCCGUCGUCAGCUCGUGUCGUGAGAUGUUGGGUUAAGUCCCGCAACGAGCGCAACCCCUAUCCCUAGUUGCCAGCAGUUCGGCUGGGCACUCUAUGGAGACUGCCUGCGAAAGCAGGAGGAAGGCGGGGAUGACGUCUGGUCCGCAUGGCCCUUACGGCCUGGGCGACACACGUGCUACAAUGCCAAGGACAGAGCGCUGCUACCUCGCGAGAGGACGCCAAUCGCAAAAACCUUGGCUCAGUUCGGAUUGGAGUCUGCAACUCGACUCCAUGAA
rnacentral:rRNA from 1 species